rnacentral:lncRNA from 1 species
CACAGAUAUUUUUUCCUCUUCUCCCAGACAAUUGGCUGGUGUCAAUCAAAUAUUUUAACGGCCAAAAGCCGGCCAUAACCAGCUAAUGGAAACCCUGAAAAGGAAGAGGAUGUUUUUCAGCUGGCCUGUACUGGGAUGGAGGCUCCUAAACAGAUGCUGUUCAGAGGUUUAUAGCCCCAAUAAGGCUGGGGAGUGUCCCACUGGCCGCUGUGGCAGACACUACACUACCCCACACACACUACACUACCACUACACACACUACACUACCCCACACACGCUACACUACCCCACACACACUACACUACCACUACACUACCCCACACUCUACACUACCCCACACACUACACUACCACUACACUACCCCGCACACGCUACACUACCCCACACACACUACACUACCCCACACUCUACACUACCCCACACACUACACUACCAGUACACUACCCCACACACUACACUACCACACACACACACUACAUUACCACUACACUACCACACACACACACACACUACCACUACACUACCCCACACACUACCACACACACACACACACACUACACUACCCCACACACUACACUACCCCACACACACACACACUACACUACCCCACACACACACACACACACACACACUACACUACCCCACACACACACACACACACACUACACUACCCCACACACACACACACACACACACACUACCCCACACACACACACUACCCCACACACACACACACACACACACACACUACCCCACACACACACACACACUACCCCACACACACUACCCCACACACACACACACACACUACCCCACACACACUACACUAUCACACACUACACUAGACUACACAUACUCAAAACAACCACAUCAAUAGCUAGAGUACCUGUGACUCAUGAAUUGUAUAUGACCUUAUCUAUCAUGUGUACAAACAAACACAGAGAUCAUGUGCCAUGUAACACAGAUCAAGUCAAAAACAAUGCUUAACUUGUCUUGGAUCUGAUUUCCCUGACCCAAUUCUAGCUAAACCAUCAGGAAAAAAACAUUCAACUGUCCUUGGACCAGUACUUAGAAGCACAUCCAUUGUGUUCAAAGCUCAAUGAGACAG